UCCUAUACAUGUAAGCGCCUACAACCUGAUGUCCCCAACACGGUUGUGCCCUCUCGUGGCUCGUGGGUUUGGACAUCCGUUUCGGCGUCCUUACUUUCCUCCUUCGUGAGUUCCUUACUAUACUCCAUUGUAUUUCUUCAUCUAAUAUAAGGAGGCAUGGAAAGUCGUCCAGUUUAUGCGCGGAAGUAUUACUGGAUUGUCAUCGUGUUUCUUGAAUGUUGUCAAGUAGUAAAAUUGAGUUAUGGUCAUAUCGAUUUUUCUAAUGGAUUCCUGUAUUUUGCCAGGGGCUUGCUACAGUCUUGCUUUCAGUUCUGACAGUUGUUGUUUCUCGUCGGGUCGAAAUGAGGUAUGAGUCGAUGCUUAAUUUUUGUUAUGUGUCUUACUUAACACUACUGUUAUUUCUAGCAGAAGGGUCAGCUGGGACAUGGGGACACUCUUGUGUAACCCGUCGACUGUUUUUUUCUAAACUAUCAAACUAAGAAAAUCAUUUGCACUGUCCUCCAUUUUAAUUUUCUAUGGUAUUGUCGUAUUCCUUAAUCCAUGAAUAUAUUAGCAUACAAAACUUAUAUCAUUCAGGACCAUGGGUGUAGCUCUUGCAGUUCUAUGGGAAUUGGACCAUAUGGGAAGCUGAUUUUACAUCUACAUUCUAACUCUGCUCUUAUUGUUUUGUUUCCCUGACUCGAUGUUGUUCUAUAUUUGGUGCAGAAACUAAGGUGUUACGUCUCACCUCUCCAGUGACCACCCUCGCGCCUCCUCUCCUCCUACAUAUUACUUUUGCGCUUCCCCACCAACGGACCUUCCGCCAUGCCCGCGUCCGUCAUGCCCACGAUGCAGCCGUGGUGGUAUGACCGGCCGUAGCCCAAUGUCACGGUGGGGAGG
rnacentral:lncRNA from 1 species